UUUACUGACGGGGUGCAGCAGGCGCGAAACCUUUGCAAUGUGCGCAAGCACGACAAGGUUAAUCCGAGUGUUUCCUGCUAAAGGAAUCUUUUGUUAGUUCUAAAACCACUGAUGAAUAAGAGGUGGGCAAGUUCUGGUGUCAGCCGCCGCGGUAAAACCAGCACCUCAAGUGGUCAGGAGGAUUAUUGGGCCUAAAGCAUCCGUAGCCGGUUCUGUAAGUUUUCGGUUAAAUCCACUAGCUUAACUAAUGGGCUGCCGAAAAUACUGCAGAACUAGGGAGUGGGAGAGGUAGACGGUACUCGAUAGGAAGGGGUAAAAUCCUUUGAUCUAUUGAUGACCACCUGUGGCGAAGGCGGUCUACCAGAACACGUUCGACGGUGAGGGAUGAAAGCUGGGGGAGCAAACCGGAUUAGAUACCCGGGUAGUCCCAGCUGUAAACGAUGCAGACUCGGUGAUGCAUUGGCUUAUGGCCAGUGCAGUGCCGCAGGGAAGCCGUUAAGUUUGCCGCCUGGGAAGUACGUACGCAAGUAUGAAACUUAAAGGAAUUGGCGGGGGAGCACAU
rnacentral:rRNA from 1 species